rnacentral:rRNA from 1 species
UAUGUGAUCGUCUCUCGCAUAUCAAUAAGCGGAGGAAAAGAAACUAACAAGGAUUCCCCUAGUAACGGCGAGUGAAGCGGGAAGAGCUCAAAUUUGAAAUCUUAAAGGGUUUCCCUUUACGAAUUGUAGUUUAAAGAAGUGUUUUCUGUUGAGGUUUUGGUAAAAGUUCUUUGGAAUAGGACAUCAUAGAGGGUGAGAAUCCCGUAUUUGACCUUUACUUUCAACUUUGUGAUACACUUUCAAAGAGUCGGAUUGUUUGGGAAUGCAGUCCAAAAUGGGUGGUAAAUUUCAUCUAAAGCUAAAUAUUGGCGAGAGACCGAUAGCGAACAAGUACCGUGAGGGAAAGAUGAAAAGAACUUUGAAGAGAGAGUUAAACAGUACGUGAAAUUGUCAAAAGGGAAGCGUUUGACACCAGUGUUGUUUUUCUGAAAAUCAAUUAAAGAACUGUUUAUGCUAAGCUGUUUAGACUUUAUCAGCUAUCUGUUUAGUUUUGAGCUUUUCUUUAAUGCACUUUUCAGUUAACAAGUCAACAUCAAUUUCUUUUGCUGUAAAAAAGCUUGAGGAAGGUGGCUUGAGAUUCGUCUUAAGUGUUUAUAGCCUCUUGCCUAUGCAGUCGGAGAGAUUGAGGUCUGCAGCGUAGAUCCUUCGGGGCUAAAUGCAUUUGUGCUAAGUUAUAGCAUUUUAUAGACAACUUGUUGACUAUGAUUUGUCUUGUAGCUUACUCGCUUAUGUUAUUUUACCUACGCUUAGGAUGUUGAAGAUAUGCGCGACACG